rnacentral:rRNA from 1 species
AUGCUUAACACAUGCAAGUCGAACGGAAACGACAACGUUGAAUCUUCGGAGGAUUUGUUGGGCGUCGAGCGGCGGACGGGUGAGUAAUGCCUAGGAAAUUGCCUUGAUGUGGGGGAUAACCAUUGGAAACGAUGGCUAAUACCGCAUAAUGCCUACGGGCCAAAGAGGGGGAUCUUCGGACCUCUCGCGUCAAGAUAUGCCUAGGUGGGAUUAGCUAGUUGGUGAGGUAAUGGCUCACCAAGGCGACGAUCCCUAGCUGGUCUGAGAGGACGAUCAGCCACACUGGAACUGAGACACGGUCCAGACUCCUACGGGAGGCAGCAGUGGGGAAUAUUGCACAAUGGGCGAAAGCCUGAUGCAGCCAUGCCGCGUGUAUGAAGAAGGCCUUCGGGUUGUAAAGUACUUUCAGUUGUGAGGAAGGGUGUGUAGUUAAUAGCUGCGCAUCUUGACGUUAGCAACAGAAGAAGCACCGGCUAACUCCGUGCCAGCAGCCGCGGUAAUACGGAGGGUGCGAGCGUUAAUCGGAAUUACUGGGCGUAAAGCGCAUGCAGGUGGUUCAUUAAGCCAGAUGUGAAAGCCCGGGGCUCAACCUCGGAACUGCAUUUGAAACUGGUGAACUAGAGUGCUGUAGAGGGGGGUAGAAUUUCAGGUGUAGCGGUGAAAUGCGUAGAGAUCUGAAGGAACACCAGUGG